rnacentral:rRNA from 1 species
GAUGAACGCUGGCGGCGUGCUUAACACAUGCAAGUCGAACGAGAAGUGGAGACGGAAACCUUCGGGCGGAAGACUUUAUUUCGAGUGGCGGACGGGUGAGUAACGCGUGGGUAAUCUGCCUCAUACAGGGGGAUAACAGUUGGAAACGACUGUUAAUACCGCAUAAGACCACAGCACCGCAUGGUGCGGGGGUAAAAACUCCGGUGGUAUGAGAUGGACCCGCGUUCGAUUAGCCAGUUGGCGGGGUAACGGCCCACCAAAGCGACGAUCGAUAGCCGAUCUGAGAGGGUGACCGGCCACAUUGGGACUGAGACACGGCCCAAACUCCUACGGGAGGCAGCAGUGGGGAAUAUUGCACAAUGGGGGAAACACUGAUGCAGCGACGCCGCGUGAGUGAAGAAGUAUUUCGGUAUGUAAAGCUCUAUCAGCAGGGAAGAAAAUGACGGUACCUGAGUAAGAAGCCCCGGCUAACUACGUG